ACGACCAAGGGCAGUUUUGUACUUUCAGCAACAAUGGCAUUUUAGUAAAUUUUCACCUCUUAGCUAAUGCUCAGUCCGCAAGUCCAGAAAAUUCUUCAUUUUACAAACAUCAUCUCAAUCUCUUUUCCUCUGUAACAAACAGAACAUAGCUAACCUCAGUUCCAGAUAUAGAUCGUGGAGCAGAUACGAGUUGAGUUCUUGAGCCGUUGAGCUAAGACCAGGUCUCGAGAUACAGGUUGGGAAUCCGUCUAUUAGGAUGUCAGCUCAGCAGAUGAGGUUGAUGCCCUCCAUUUGUUCCGGAGAUGGCAGGAGUCAGCAUGGUCUUAUGUACAUUUAUGUAUGCACAUAUGUAUGGGUAUGGCGGGGCCCUGUUCCGGCCACGUUAUGUUAUGUUUUCUAGUAGAGGCUUGUAGACAGUUAUGUAUUGUCAGAUGAUGUCCAGACGUGUGGUUUCGCAUAUGGUCAUAGGUGGUUAUGAUAACUUAUCGGCUCAUGCAGUAUGUUCAGCAUAUUCAUAUAGAUGAGUCUUUCAGAUUAGUUGA